AUGAAAUGUCAGGUGCUGAUAACAUGUGAAAACAUAUCUAGUAUNNNNNNNNNNGUGCUGGUUGCAGACUUUGGACAGCUACCUCAGCAGUUUGGGGGUGGGUGGCGUGCUCUGAGAGGCAGCUGAAUGACCAGCUGCCGGUCAUGGUGACCUCAACCUUUUCUGGAGUCCAAGGAUCCCAGCCAACUUGGGGGGUGGGUCAAUGCCCCAACUCCCCAUCUAAGCGCCUUCCUGUGGCCCCAGGAAAGAGGAGACGGAGCGUCCCACGUGGGCUUGUUAGGCCGACUUCAAGGGGUGACCAUCGUCUGAGUCCCUCAGAGCACGCCCCCGUCCAAAGCCUGCUCUCCUGGGAAGGGGCACGCCAUGAACCCCGAACUCCGGAGGCUCGUCUUUCUCAGGCAGCCGUCGUCCCUGCGCACCUGCCCGCUCCCAGCCUCGUUCUCCCUCCGACACUCCCCAGAGGCAGGUGCCCCCCCUCCGCCCCGCCCCCACGGCCAGAUCUGCUUUCUAAGAAGCCGGAACAAAGUCUCAAAGUUGCUGCUAGAGGAGGAGCCGCCUUGCCGCGGACCGUGCGGGGGACAGGGCCGGCUGGUGUGGCCCUCGUGCCCUGCAUCUGUUCACCCCUGCCCCCCGCCCCCCCGCCCCCAGGUGAGCGCCCCCAGCUCGCACUCGCUCCGGACACCUGAGGACACGCACAACCUCCAUCAGCUCCCCGCCCCGCCCCCCGGGAC
rnacentral:lncRNA from 12 species